CCUACGGGGUGCAGCAGUGAGGAAUAUUGGUCAAUGGACGGAAGCCUGAACCAGCCAAGUAGCGUGCAGGAUGACGGCCCUACGGGUUGUAAACUGCUUUUAUACGGGAAUAACGCGCCUUACGUGUAGGGCUUUGCAUGUACCGUAUGAAUAAGGACCGGCUAAUUCCGUGCCAGCAGCCGCGGUAAUACGGAAGGUCCGGGCGUUAUCCGGAUUUAUUGGGUUUAAAGGGAGCGUAGGCGGCAUGUCAAGCGUGCGGUGAAAUGUCCGGGCUCAACCCGGGCCUUGCCGCGAGUACUGGCGGGCUUGAGUAUGCUGACGGCAGGCGGAAUGCGUGGUGUAGCGGUGAAAUGCUUAGAUAUGACGCAGAACCCCGAUUGCGAAGGCAGCUUGCUGAAGCAGAACUGACGCUGAUGCUCGAAAGCGCGGGUAUCGAACAGGAUUAGAUACCCGGGUAGUC
rnacentral:rRNA from 1 species